rnacentral:rRNA from 1 species
UCUAAAGUAGUGUAUAUUAAACUUAAAAUUUUGACGGUAUUUAAUAUUUUAGAGGAAUAUGUAAUUUAAUCGUAAUUACACGUUAAUUUUACUUAUUUUAUUUUUGUAUACCACCGUUAAUAGAUUUUAUUAUAUAUUUUAAUAAAUUUCUAAAUAAAUUAAUUUUAUUAUAUCAGGUCAAGGUGCAAAAUAAAUAAGUUAUUAUGUAUUACAUUCAAAUAUAUUGUAAUGGAUAAUUGUUGAAACAUAUAUUUGAAAUUGAAUCUACAAGUAAAAUUUUAAUAAAGUAUUAUUUGAAAUAAUAUUAAAAA